AUUGAACGCUGGCGGCAUGCCUUACACAUGCAAGUCGAACGGUAACGGGCCUUCGGGUGCCGACGAGUGGCGAACGGGUGAGUAAUGUAUCGGAACGUACCUUUCAGUGGGGGAUAACGUAGCGAAAGUUACGCUAAUAUCGCCUAUUCUGAGAGUAGGAAAGCCGGGGAUCGCAAGACAUUGCGCUGACUGAGCGGACGAUAUCAGGUUAGCUAGGUGGUGAGGUAAAGGCCCACCAAGGCGACGAUCUGUAGCGAGUCUGAGAGGAUGAUCCACCACACUGGGACUGAGACACGGCCCAGACUCCUACGGGAGGCAGCAGUGGGGAAUUUUGGACAAGGGGGGCAACCCUGAUCCAGCCAUGCCGCGUGAGUGAAGAAGGCCUUCGGGUUGUAAAGCUCUUUCGGCCGGGAAGAAAUCGCACAGGCUAAUACCUUGUGUGGAUGACGGUACCGGAAUAAGAAGCACCGGCUAACUACGUGCCAGCAGCCGCAGUAAUAC
rnacentral:rRNA from 1 species